rnacentral:rRNA from 1 species
AUUAAAAAAUUUGGCGGUAUUUUAGUCUUUUCAGAGGAACCUGUUCUAUAAUCGAUAAUCCACGAUUUAAAGUACUUAUUUUAAUAAAUUUAUAUAUCGUCGUAGUUUGAAUGUUUUAGAAGAAGUAUAAUGUUCAAGAUUUUUAUUAAAAAUUAAAUCAGAUCAAGGUGUAGUUUAUAAAUGAGAAGAAAUGGGUUACAAUUAAAAAAUUAAUGGAUAAAUUUAUUUAAUUGAAUUUUGAAAUUGGAUUUGAAAGUAAUUUUUUAUAAUUAUAAAAAAUGAUUUUGGCUCUAAAAUAUGUACAUAUUGCCCGUCACUUUUGUUUUAAGAUGAAAUAAGUCGUAACAAAGUAGAUUUACUGGAAGGUGAAUCUAGAAU